GAUGAACGCUGGCGGCGUGCCUAAUACAUGCAAGUCGAACGAGAACUAUUGUAGCAAUACGAUAGUUCUAGUGGCGAACGGGUGAGUAACGCGUUGGUGAUCUGCCCCGAAGUGGAGGAUAACAGUCCGAAAGGACUGCUAAUACUCCAUGUGGCUGCAAGAGUUAGAGGUCUUGCUACCAAAGAAGCAAUUCGCUUCGGGAGAGCCUGCGUCCCANCAGCUAGUUGGUAGGGUAAUGGCCUACCAAGGCUUAGACGGGUAGGGGACCUGAGGAGGGUGACCCCCACACUGGAACUGAAACACGGUCCAGACACCUACGGGUGGCAGCAGUAGGGAAUAUUGCACAAUGGGCGAAAGCCU
rnacentral:rRNA from 1 species